rnacentral:lncRNA from 1 species
CCAUAGAAUGUAUUUAGGCAAUUUUUGUAAUAUGGACUAUGGACACUAUGAUGCACCGGCACGCACACACUCACCUUAGAUGUAUGCAUAGGAUUGUAUGGUUAGAUGAAUGCUUAGGCUUAAACACUUAGAUAAAAAUCAACUUUUUUCCAAAACAUGCAAAUAACACUUGAAAACCUUUUUGAAAAUAAAAUGGAGUCAAAACUCCUUAUUUCCCCCUUUAUUUUCUUAAGUAAAAUUUUCAAUAAAUCUUAAUCCUCCUUGGACUUUAUUUUUGCAAAAUGACUAAUUCCACCUCACACUUUCCAAAUCUUAUGCCCUUGAGGCCUCUCAUCUCCUUUCUUCAAAAUCUCUUUUCAAACUUAAAAUCAACCAACAAAAACAAAAACCAUUUUUGAGAAUGAACUACGAACGGUUUUGAUCCCUUAAAAGG